UAGUCUUAAAGUGAAACGAAGUGUUUUGUUUCAAGUAAAACAAGGAAACGGGCGAUUUACAAGGUCUUUAAGAAGGAAAAUAAAAAAAAAAAACAAUUUGAAAAAGGAUUUUAAAUUAAUACCCUUAAUUAUUUAAAUUAAGAAAAUAACCAUAUUCUUUUAUAAACAGAAAAAAAAAUAUACGGAACUCAAAAAACCCUUGCUCUCCUUCUUCCCUCCUUCCUACGUACUGUUGCGUGCGCCGUUUGCUCUGCCUUGUUCUCGCACCUCCGCGGUGGAUUGCAAUCUCCACCAUCACGGUACCAAGUUCAUAGAAGGGAGAUUCUAGCUAGCUCGUUAUCCUUAAGUUAUUUUCGUACUUCAAAAAGUCAAUCUACAGGGUUGCGAAUAAGCAUGCAUGGGGAUAGAUUUUGAAGUACCUUUUUCCUUUGAAUAUUACGUUGGUUUUGGAUUUUAAUGUGUUUCAACUGUUUAACUUAACUUAUUCCUUGUGUUGGAGUUUGGAUUUAAGAAGGGGCCUAUUGAGGUCUCCACAUUGUAUUUGUACCAUUCGUUUUAAGACUUCCGCUGUUUGUUCUCAAAGUUAGACUAUAAAAGUUAAACCGGUUUUUAAUUAA